rnacentral:rRNA from 1 species
UACGUAGGGCGCAAGCGUUGUCCGGAAUUAUUGGGCGUAAAGAGCUCGUAGGCGGUUUGUCGCGUCUGCUGUGAAAUCCUCAGGCUCAACCUGGGGCUUGCAGUGGGUACGGGCAGACUAGAGUGCGGUAGGGGUGACUGGAAUUCUCGGUGUAGCAGUGAAAUGCGUAGAUAUCGAGAGGAACACCAGUGGCGAAGGCGAGUCCCUGGACAACUUCUGACGCUGGAGGCACGAAAGCUAGGGGAGCAAACAGG